AUUGAACGCUGGCGGCAUGCUUUACACAUGCAAGUCGAAUGGUAACAGGGUGCUUGCACCGCUGACGAGUGGCGAACGGGUGAGUAAUGCGUCGGAACGUGCCGAGUAGUGGGGGAUAACGCAGCGAAAGUUGUGCUAAUACCGCAUACGUACUGAGGUAGAAAGUGGGGGACCUUCGGGCCUCACGCUAUUCGAGCGGCCGACGUCUGAUCAGCUAGUAGGUGAGGUAAAGGCUCACCUAGGCGACGAUCAGUAGCGGGUCUGAGAGGAUGAUCCGCCACACUGGGACUGAGACACGGCCCAGACUCCUACGGGAGGCAGCAGUGGGGAAUUUUGGACAAUGGGCGAAAGCCUGAUCCAGCCAUGCCGCGUGUCUGAAGAAGGCCUUCGGGUUGUAAAGGACUUUUGUCAGGGAGGAAAUCCCUAGUGCUAAUAACACUGGGGGAUGACAGUACCUGAAGAAUAAGCACCGGCUAACUACGUGCCAGCCGCCGCGGUAA
rnacentral:rRNA from 1 species